GCCAAGCCGAGUAAUAUUGUACAAAAACAACUAAGGUUGAAAAUUUGAAAAAGAAGAGUACUGUGAAGAUCCUUGCAAAAAUGUCAAUAAUCGUACAAAUGUAAUCUUUUGAUUAGAAGCUUUAUGGAAAGCACGUUUUAAAGCUUGAUGUUAAUUACUACAGAAUCUAGCUCCAAUCUUUAUUUCCUUUAUUUUCUUUUACUCAAUUUUUCCUUUUUAUUUCUUUAUGUUUAUUUUAUUCUAAUGAUAUUGUGUGCACAAUGUCUUAUUUUCUACACUAUGCAGUUACAAGUAUGUGUUGAUACAUUGGCAAUGUUUUGGUAAUG